AUGGUUCCUUCCUGGUCCAUAGACAUAGUCCAUCUUUCCCUUCAAAAAAAUUGACCAACAAGCUGAUUCCCAAUGGAUUGCUGAUGCUUUGCAACGUCAAAACACCUUCACUAGAAAAUUCCAGCAGGGAAUCAGUCUUAAUCCUCUGAACUUUUAGUCGUAUAUACAUUAAAAACAUCUGAUUAUAGUAAAAAAAUUAGGAAAAUCUCAUUUGCAUAACUACAUCAGUAUGCAAAAACAGUAACUGCUUAGCAAAUCGAGCUCAAUUUCAUUCAUCACUUCUUCAUUUAUUAAAAAGUAAUCAUGAACAAAAGGGCAGCCAAUUUCAUUAUCAAACCCUUAAUCAAAAAGUAAGUGGAUUUUCAUUUUUUUGUUUUUGGAUCUAUAAAAGCACAUACACUGUAAAUUUGAAACAUCAAGCUCAUAAUAAAAUAAUAUUUUUUUUCACAGCAAGAAAAUAGCAAGCAAAAAUGGUAGCAUAUCAAUUGGUAAUCAAGAACCACAUAACUAUAGUAAAAAUAUGAAAGAAAAGGUCAACAUAUUCAUGUU
rnacentral:misc_RNA from 1 species